GACGAACGCUGGCGGCGUGCUUAACACAUGCAAGUCGAACGGAAAGGCCCUGCUUUUGUUGGGUGCUCGAUUGGCGAACGGGUGAGUAACACGUGAGUAACCUGCCCUUGACUUUGGGAUAACUUCAGGAAACUGGGGCUAAUACCGGAUAGGAGCUCCUGCUGCAUGGUGUUGGUUGGAAAGUUUCGGCGGUUGGGGAUGGACUCGCGGCUUAUCAGCUUGUUGGUGGGGUAGUGGCUUACCAAGGCUUUGACGGGUAGCCGGCCUGAGAGGGGGACCGGGCACAUGGGGACUGAGAGACGGAGCAGAAUCGUACGGGAGGCAACAGUGGGGAGUAUGACACAAUGGGCGGAAGUCUGAUGCGACAGCGCUGGGUGCGGAAUGACGGGUUUCGGGUUGUAAACAGCUUUCGCCGGUGACGAAGCGUGAGUGACGGUAAUGGAUAAAGAAGCACCGGAUAACUACGUG
rnacentral:rRNA from 1 species